GACGAACGCUGGCGGCGUGCCUAAUACAUGCAAGUAGAACGCUGAAGGAGGAGCUUGCUUCCCUGGAUGAUUUGCGAACGGGUGAGUAACACGUAGGUAACCUGCCUGGUUGCGGGGGAUAACUAUUGGAAACGAUAGCUAAUACCGCAUAAGAGUAGAUGAUGCAUGACAUUCGCUAGAAAGGUGCAAUCGCAUCACUACUAGAUGGACCUGCGUUGUAUUAGCUAGUUGGUGGGGUGACGGCUUACCAAGGCGACGAUACAUAGCCGACCUGAGAGGGUGAUCGGCCACACUGGGACUGAGACACGGCCCAGACUCCUACGGGAGGCAGCAGUAGGGAAUCUUCGGCAAUGGACGGAAGUCUGACCGAGCAACGCCGCGUGAGUGAAGAAGGUUUUCGGAUCGUAAAGCUCUGUUGUAAGAGAAGAACGAGUGUGAGAGUGGAAAGUUCACACUGUGACGGUAUCUUACCAGAAAGGGACGGCUAACUACGUG
rnacentral:rRNA from 1 species